UGAUAUGCUUGUCUCAAAGAUUAAGCCAUGCAUGUCUCAGUGCAAGCUUGUACAAAGUGAAACCGCGAAUGGCUCAUUAAAUCAGUUAUGGUUCAUUGGAUAUACACAGUUACUUGGAUAACUGUGGUAAUUCUAGAGCUAAUACAUGCCACAGAAGUCUCGACCAGCAAUGGAAGGGAUGCUUUUAUUAGAUCAAAACCAAUCGGCUCGGCGUAAACUCCGUUUGCGCCGGCCGUUUCUUUUUGGUGACUCUGGAUAACUUUAUGCCGAUCGCACGGUCUUCGUACCGGUGACGAUCCCUUCAAAUGUCUGACUUAUCAACUGUCGAUGGUAGGCUAUGCGCCUACCAUGGUUGUAACGGGUGACGGGGAAUCAGGGUUCGAUUCCGGAGAGGGAGCCUGAGAAACGGCUACCACAUCCAAGGAAGGCAGCAGGCGCGCAAAUUACCCACUUCCGGCACGGGGAGGUAGUGACGAAAAAUAACGAUACGGGACUCAUCCGAGGCCCCGUAAUCGGAAUGAGAACACUUUAAAUACUUUAACAAGUAUCAAUUGGAG
rnacentral:rRNA from 1 species